rnacentral:lncRNA from 1 species
GCGUAUGAAUAUCCUUUCCCUGCAAAAUGUAUAAUGUGUAUCCCCCACGCCAUGAUUUGGCUUUGUAAAUUGAAAAUUAUUCUAUUGGCAUGUUUGGAUGACAAAUGAGUUCUAUCUGGAGUAGACUCUCUCAGUUGAAAGUAAAAACAAAUGAUCUUAUUAUAUAUUUUUUAAUAAAAAAAUCUCUCUCAAAAAGAUAGGGGCCCUUUAGGAAUCCUUUUGCCGACUCCUUCAAUGGUAUUUGUUACAUUUUGCUUGAAAACGAAGAAAAGAAGGUGGGGAAAGGGCCAUUAUUCGUCUCGUGCUUCUAAAGUUGCAGUACUCAAAGAGACAUAAAUAAAGUGAGAGGCAAGAAAAGGUCGAAGCAUGCACUGUGAUCCUUGUCUCUCUGCGUUGUUGUGUGUUGUCUUAGAGAGAGAGAGAGAGAGAUGGAAAAAGCUUGGGAACUUUGUGCAGAGGGGAAGGGAAAUCUUCUAAACCUUACCAUAACAAAAAGAUAACAAAAAUCUUCUCGCUCUCUUUCUCAUAACAAAAAUGUCAC